UCAAAGGAAAUUAGGGGAGGGGCAAGGUCUUAGCCACAACCAAUGAGCAUUCAUUUUGCCCUUACCUGACCUGGAAGAACCUUCAAUCUCUAAGCAUAUGGAGAAUGACUGCCAAGAAGAUCUACAAACACAUCUGAUAUCACCUAAUAGCUGAUGACCUCCACCAACAACUGGUGCCAGAAGCAGAAAGGGAACAGCUGGGAGGCAACAUGAGGACAUUUGUGAUUGCAUGGGACAAUGUAGCAUUCCACAAGUACUCCCCUUUCCUACCCCCUACUCCCCUUUCCUCCCCCCUACUUACCUUUCCUUAACCCCAUUGAGGAAUGUUUUUCUGUCUGGAGGUGGAAAGUGUAUGAUCAUUGGUCACAUGACCAAAUGUCCCUCCUGGAUGCAACAGAUGCCAGCUGCAGAGACAUCUCAGCUGAAGACUGCCAGGGGUGGAUAAGGCAGGCCAAGCGUUUCUAUCCAAGGCGCAUGGCGAGAGACGACAUAAGAUGUGACGUGGACGAGAAUAUGUGGCCAAAUGCUGAAGAUGGAAUAGAUUAGAACAGGACGGGCAUUUUAGUGUUUGAUCCCUUCUGUGCCUUUUUUACUGUAAUUGUUUUAUUUUUACACAUUUGGAACCAAAGGCCAUGUAAGUUGGAUGUGUUGUUGAACCAAAGGCCAUGUAUGUUGGAUGUGUUGUUGAACCAAAGGCCAUGCAUGUUGGGUGUGUUGUUGAACCAAAGGCCAUGUAUGUUGGAUGUGUUGUUGAACCAAAGGCCAUGCAUGUUAGGUGUGUUGUUGAACCAAAGGCCAUGUAUGUUGGAUGUGUUGUUGAACCAAAGGCCAUGUAUGUUGGAUGUGUUGUUGAACCAAAGGCCAUGUAUGUUGGAGGUUUUGUUGAUCACUGGCAGCAAUUUCUUGUUGCUAAUAAAGCUUUUACUGCAGCAA